rnacentral:rRNA from 1 species
CUGAACCAGCCAAGUAGCGUGAAGGAUGAAGGUCCUACGGAUUGUAAACUUCUUUUAUACGGGAAUAAAGUUCCUACGUGUAGGAUUUUGUAUGUACCGUAUGAAUAAGCAUCGGCUAACUCCGUGCCAGCAGCCGCGGUAAUACGGAGGAUGCGAGCGUUAUCCGGAUUUAUUGGGUUUAAAGGGAGCGCAGACGGGAGAUUAAGUCAGUUGUGAAAGUUUGCGG